rnacentral:rRNA from 1 species
UACGUAGGGGGCAAGCGUUGUCCGGAAUUACUGGGCGUAAAGGGCUCGUAGGCGGCGCAACAAGUCACUUGUGAAAUCUCCGGGCUUAACCCGGAGCGGCCAAGUGAUACUGUCGUGCUAGAGUGCGGAAGGGGCUACUGGAAUUCUCGGUGUAGCGGUGAAAUGCGUAGAUAUCGAGAGGAACACCUGCGGCGAAGGCGGGUUGCUGGGCUGACACUGACGCUGAUGCGCGAAAGCUAGGGGAGCGAACGGG